rnacentral:lncRNA from 1 species
CUUCUUUCUUUGUAGUACUUUUAUGACCAUCGAUCACUAAUCUUUCACUCGAAUCUUUCAACUGAAUUGUUGCUACAAAGAUUGGUAAAUGAUCUGGUCCAAAUUUUUUACAUGUAUACCUUACUGAUGACAAAUUCAUUUUUUCAAGUACCUCCUUACAUCAGUUUGAGUGAUGCAACCAUAGAUAUAGACAUUUGACCCUCCAUUGCACACACUUAUUGUUAUUGAUAAAGAGGUCUCUUUGCUUAAACCUCUCAAUUUUAUUGAAAAACUACACUUUUUUUUUUUACUUUCUCAGAAAACUCUUAAGCUCUCUGGCUCUGAAGCUCUGAGGAUAUCUGGCUCUAUGGCUCUCGGGCUCUGUGAGUUAUUGUAGAACAACCCUAUGCUUUGAUAGUUGCUUUAAGAUCGAUCUUGCUCUGCUUGCUCUGUGAGUUAUUGUAGAAUCAACCCUAUGCUUUGAUAGUUACUUUAGGAUCGAUCUUACUCUAAGGCACUCUGUUGGAAAGGUGAUGGCACAAUCACAAACUCAAAUACUACUGC